UGUAGCCCUUGCGUCACAUGUGUGGCUGGGUCCACUAACCCGGCGCGGAGGGAGAUUCCCUCAGUUGAGCUCAACCUUGGUCAGGAGAGGGUGGUCUCUUCCCAUUCCGCCCAUCUCUUCUCAUUAAAAAGAGCUAGAGUCUCAAGUGUUUGUCCGACGUUGUUGGGACUGUGGGAGGCUAAAGAGGUGGGUCCUUCCUGCUCCCCACCACCCAUGAUCUGGUCUAGGGACUCUGCUUCCCCCCACACCUUGCCCUAACAUCCCUCAAGAUCUUAAGCAUCCAGAUCAUUCUUUCAUUGGUGUCAGCGGUAUCCCUUUCUGCUUCUAUCCUGGGGGCAACCGCAGCAGAGAGGAAGGAAAAUACACAGAAAACUGUUUCCUCCGUUUUGAUGGAGAUCCCUGCUCCCUGCGCGUUUGCUCAGUCGAUCCUUCCACACUUCUGGGAGCUCUGACUCAGACCCGGGGCAGCUGGACUAAAGAGCCAAUCGGUUAAUGCCUCACCUCUGAUAUACUGAGGCCUCUGGUGACUUAGCCUUAGCUACAGCAUCUUCUCUGCUGGACCCUGAACCUCUGCCUGCAGCUGAAUUGCUCUACUUCCUCCUCACGGCCACCACUGACCAGGGAGGAGCCAUGGAACCAGGAUGGGGAUCCAUCCUUGGUCAGGAAGUUCAAGUCCACAUGCCACAGCUAAAGAUUCCUUACGCUGCAAUGAAUAUUGAAGAUCCCCCAAGUAGCAACUAAGACUUGGUACAGCCAAAUAAAUAAAUAAAACUAAAUAUUUUGUAAAAAGAAUCUAUCAAAGAGUUU
ensembl:lncRNA